rnacentral:rRNA from 1 species
GACGAACGCUGGCGGCGUGCUUAACACAUGCAAGUCGAACGGAAAGGCCCUGCUUUUGUGGGGUGCUCGAGUGGCGAACGGGUGAGUAGCACGUGAGUAACCUGCCCUUGACUUUGGGAUAACUUCAGGAAACUGGGGCUAAUACCGGAUAGGAGCUCCUGCUGCAUGGUGGGGGUUGGAAAGUUUCGGCGGUUGGGGAUGGACUCGCGGCUUAUCAGCUUGUUGGUGGGGUAGUGGCUUACCAAGGCUUUGACGGGUAGCUGGCCUGAGAGGGUGACCGGCCACAUUGGGACUGAGAUACGGCCCAGACUCCUACGGGAGGCAGCAGUGGGGAAUAUUGCACAAUGGGCGGAAGCCUGAUGCAGCAACGCCGCGUGCGGGAUGACGGCCUUCGGGUUGUAAACCGCUUUCGCCUGUGACGAAGCGUGAGUGACGGUAAUGGGUAAAGAAGCACCGGCUAACUACGUG